CUACGGGGCGCAGCAGUGAGGAAUCUUGCGCAAUGGGGGAAACCCUGACGCAGCGACGCCGUGUGAGUGAAGAAGGCCUUCGGGUCGUAAAGCUCUGUCAAGUGGGAAUAACGUCCCACGGUUAAUAACCAUGGAAUCUGAAGGUACCACUAGAGGAAGCACCGGCUAACUCCGUGCCAGCAGCCGCGGUAAUACGGAGGGUGCAAGCGUUAUUCGGAUUUAUUGGGCGUAAAGAGCGUGUAGGCGGUUAUGUAAGUCAGAUGUGAAAGCCUUCUGCUCAACGGAAGAAGUACAUCUGAAACUGCAUAACUUGAGUACGGGAGAGGAAAGUGGAAUUCCCAGUGUAGAGGUGAAAUUCGUAGAUAUUGGGAGGAACACCUGUGGCGAAGGCGACUUUCUGGACCGAUACUGACGCUGAGACGCGAAAGCGUGGGGAGCAAACAGGAUUAGAUACCCCGGUAGUC
rnacentral:rRNA from 1 species